GUAACCUUCGAGCUCUUUCUCUCAGCUUCGUCUCCUCUCAUCAGAAACGGCGCACGGCUUCGACUUCUCUCCGGCGAAAUCAACCCUCUCUCCACCACCGUGAAGCUGAAAGCACAACGAAAAUCUCCACUCUCCGCCUUGCUCUUUCAUUUUGCUUCUACGAUCGCUCACUCUCUUUCUUUUCGAUUUCUCUCUCUCCGAUUGUUAAUCCCCGAUCUUCAAGCUUGAUGAGGUGAAGAAUAAGCGCUUCGUGAAUUCAAUUGCUCUUCUCGCCUCUUCUUUUUCUGUAUUUUGACUUCUGAUUUGCUGUCGAGGAAUUGAUGAUGAUGUUGAUGUGUUUCGCCAAUGAAGAUGAAAAGGAAGCGGAGAUUUGAUGAUUAUCGUUGACGAAGAUGAAGAUGGUUCAAGAUUGAUGAUUUGAGGAAGAGAGAUUGGUGAAUGAAGAGUGGUUCAGAUGAUGAAUGGCGUGGAUUGAGGCUUCAGAGAGAGGUUGCAGGGAAUAUGAAGUCUGAGAAUCGGUGGGGAAUUGGUGAAGGUCGUGGAGCAUGAAGAUGGAGGUGAUGAUCAUUGGUGGGGGGAAGAUGAUGAUAAGAAUGGAGAUGAAGGUGGUGAAUGUGAAGAAAAAUGGUAAAUGGACGUGGAGAGGUUCUGAAGUGUGGUGGUUCUGAUUUUAUAGAGGUGGAGGAGAUUGAAUCUGAGAAUGAUGCAAUUGGAUUUUUUGUGUGGAGAAAUGAUCUUAAAGCAAGGUUAAUCCCAACAAUGAGGCAAGGACUAAAGCAUAAUCAUGGAGGUUGAAGAAUUGAAGUGUUUAGGAUAGUGUUGACUUUAGUCAACUGGUUGUAAUUCUUUUGUAUCUUUUUUGUAAUGGAACUGUAUUUUGAAUCUUUGUAAUGGAAAUGGUUGACUUGAGUUUUGUAAUGAAUUUUGGAACUUUGACUCUGUGAUGUAGUUUGAAAUGUAAUGGAUACAUGAUGACGGAGUUUGAAUA